GUCAUUGUCAUUAGCGUCACAAAUUACAAAUUGAAAAGCUAACCUAUAAAACAGUUAUCAUACAAUUUAUAUUUAAAAGAAUUUACCUUUUUGAAAAAAUAAACCAUAAUUAAAAAAAUAGACCAUAUACAAUGAGCGUCUGUAACGUUGAAGUAAUCAAGCAAAUUGGGAAAUAUUAUAAUGUGCCGGUUGGCACCGUAUGUUACAAUACUGAUAAGGUACUCACCACAGUAUUAAACAAACAGAGCAUAGAAGGUUUUGCUACAAUAGUACUGAAGUUAGCUUCGAGCAGUGGAAUCAAACUGAAUCAAGAACAGAUGUUGCUUAGCUACCAGUGGCUAGAGCACAUAGCUAUGUAUGCCAACCAGGCUGCGGCUAACCCUGCCUUUGCUCAGGGGUUUUUAAAGGACAUAAAUAAAGCCUUGGAGAAGAAUACAUAUUUAACUGGACAGAGCCUAAAUGUGACUGAUGUUGCUGCAUAUUAUGUUUUAUACCCUCUUAUUGAGCGGCUCUCAAUCACAGAACGUGAAGGACUAAUGCAUCUGUGCCGAUGGACGAGGCACAUACAAGCACAGCCAAGAGUGUGCACAAACCAGGCUCCUCUAACUCUGAACACUCUGAAUCUCUCAAUAUUAGCACCUGCCGUACAUUAAAACCUCAUUAGCAAUUACAAGCAAAAAGUACCAAAACAAUAAAACCUUUAUUGACAAUCAAUUGCCAACAGUAAAAUUAAGACUGUGAAAGUAUUAGUGUUUUGAAAGCCUUCAUAAUGAUUGUUUUUAACAAGUUAAUUAUGUUAAUUAUUUGUAUUGCUAAUUAUUUGUUCUUGAUUAGUUGUGCAACAACUGACCGACUACCUAAGCUGCCUGCACCAAUACUGCCUCAUCAAUUGAAGAACACAAGUUUAGACAAACCCGUCUUGUUCUUCCCUCAGCCUCUUUCUCAUCCGGGAUACCCAGUGAUUCUUUAUUUGUGAACAGCCUAACAGAAUGCCUUGUGAAAGUUUUGCAAGUCAACUUUCUCGAUGCUCAAAAUAUUUUACUACUUAAUUACGUAGCAUUAAUUUUAGAACUGUUUAUUUAAUAAAGGCUGUCAUCGACACUUGGUCGUACAGUUAACGUUAUUAUCCGGAAAAAUGAAUGAAUGUGUUUUUUCAGCCGAGUUAUAAUUACUUAUCGAGAGCGUUAACUUACAAAAACUGGGAAUCAGCACUCACAAUUCUAAUAUACUUUUUUAAUGCAGA